GAAUGCUGGCCGCACCGUCCGGGCGUCCGCACUGCGAGAUUCUGCAUUAACAUCUAGGGCUCCAACUGACCGCACACUCUCCUGGACUGGGUUCCCACCACAGCUGAGGAGCUGGCCUUCAUUUCGGGUUUGGAGUCAUGUGUGGACAGCAAGUUGGUUUCUUUUCAGGAGUCCCAGCAUAUGGCCUCUUACGCAGCUCAAAAUCAAUAAAAU
rnacentral:lncRNA from 1 species